GUGCCAGCAGCCGCGGUAAUACGGGGGGUGCAAGCGUUAAUCGGAAUCACUGGGCGUAAAGGGUGCGUAGGCGGUGCAUUAGGUCUGUCGUGAAAUCCCCGGGCUCAACCUGGGAAUGGCGGUGGAAACCGGUGUACUAGAGUAUGGGAGAGGGUGGUGGAAUUCCAGGUGUAGCGGUGAAAUGCGUAGAGAUCUGGAGGAACAUCAGUGGCGAAGGCGGCCACCUGGCCCAAUACUGACGCUGAGGCACGAAAGCGUGGGGAGCAAACAGGAUUAGAUACCCUGGUAGUCCACGCCCUAAACGAUGAAUACUAGAUGUUUGGUGCCACGCGUACUGAGUGUCGUAGCUAACGCGAUAAGUAUUCCGCCUGGGAAGUACGGCCGCAAGGUUAAA
rnacentral:rRNA from 1 species